rnacentral:rRNA from 1 species
CGUCAGCUUACCCUGCAAAGGACCUAAAGUAAGCAAAAUUGGCUAACCCCCCAAAACGCCAGGUCGAGGUGUAGCGUAUGGAGAGGGAUGAGAUGGGCUACAUUCCAUCCCAGAUGGCACACGAACGGUUAGAUUGAAACAUCAACCUGAAGGAGGAUUUAGCAGUAAGUGGGAAAUAGAGCGUCCCACUGAAUCUGGCCCUGAAGCGCGCACACACCGCCCGUCACUCUCCCCGAAUAAAAACCUUUUUAUCCCUAAUACCAUACAACACGUAAGGGGAGGCAAGUCGUAACAUGGUAAGUGUACCGGAAGGUGCACUUGGAUAACC